AAUUGUAGAAUAAACUAGGAAAAAUAAUUUGCUGUCAUCCAGAAGAUAAGCAGAAAGUAACAGGAUGGAUUUGUGAACAACAAACCAAGUUAAUCAAGUUUGAUUUCCCUCUACGACAGGGUAGCAGCUCUUGUGAACGAGGGAUAGGCUGUUGUACAUUUUAAUUUUAAUAACCCUUUUGAAAAAUGUCUCAAAUAACAUUCUAAUAAACCAUCUAGGGAAAUGCAAUCUAGGUCAUACAUUGGCAACAUUAAAGGCUGUAUGCCAGAUUGAAUUUCCCUUUCCAAAUGCUGUGAUUAAGAACCUUGUGCAAGUUGUGAGAUGUCACAUCUCACACAUGAUGCUUUGUGUGGGUAAUGUUGUCUCUGUAAAGACGGUGGCUUCUCACAUGUAUCCCUGUGAGUGUGUAGGGAGCCCUGCUGCUAGGGCAGGCUCCAGGACAGAGACACAACUGGGUCUCUGUGAGGGUGAGAGCACUGUAACAAGCAUAGACUCCCAGAAGCUGAACUUUGUCUGCUAGACAGCUUUGUUAGCUCUCCUGAUGGCAACUGGAAAGGCUGCUGAAAACCCAAUAUUUACAGAAUGUUGUUUCCUUUGAACAGGUGCAAUAUAACUGUGCAUCCAUCUUCUGGUCUUUCUUGCAGCAAGUCAAAUUAGAUGGAUACAUUUCUGUGUUACUUCUGCUGUGCAUUUAGUAGUGGUUGAAAAGUACUCAUAUUAUCAACUGUUAAAAUUUCUUGUUUCUUGAUCUGUAGCAAGUGAAGUUGCUCAGCAGUGAAAAUGUGAAGAGACGUAUUUGGAAUCAAUGCUGACAGCUUGAGAAGUAACAGGUAUAAAAGCAUGAGGAAUGCAGAAAAGCCAUGCAAAGUACAAUAAAGCUUUACCAGAAGAUCCCAGAGGACCAUAGUAGAGGUGAAGAGAAUACAAUCAGCCUUUAUGAAAUCUUGGUUAACCAACUGAACAAGAUAAAAUGUGUCAACAAGUAUACUGAGAAGAACCACCUUUCUAUUGGUGUAUCAUAAGAAUGAAGCUCCCUCCCCCUUCACAGAAGAUGGCACAAUUCAGAAGAAGUUGUUUCAGAACAUACUCAGUUUAAUUACAGGAUCAGUGAACACAGCAACAUUUUCUUGGCAACAGCAUAUGGAAGAUAGAAACAGAUUCUUCUUAGGAUGCCUGUACUCUGGCCUUAUAAUUUUAUUUCAUUUUUGUAACUCUAGACAAGCUCAUUUCAUUCAAAGGAAAAAACCAGCAUUGGUAAGGUUUCUUUUCUGUUGUCCUUUACGAUUACUUAAUGCCAUUGUAGAACAGUAAUUGAAUGUGGCUCCUGUUACUGAUCUGCAUCAUGUACAUUGUCACAUCUCCAAGCAGUUUCUGGUUCUGCAGUUUCUAGGACUGGAAGGAGUACCAAGAAAGGUA